CCUACGGGUGGCAGCAGUGGGGAAUAUUGCACAAUGGGGGAAACCCUGAUGCAGCGACGCCGCGUGAGUGAAGAAGUAAUUCGUUACGUAAAGCUCUAUCAGCAGGGAAGAAACACUGACCUUACGGUCAGCAGACGGUACCUGAGUAAGAAGCACCGGCUAACUACGUGCCAGCAGCCGCGGUAAUACGUAGGGGGCAAGCGUUAUCCGGAUUUACUGGGUGUAAAGGGAGCGUAGACGGUGCGCCAAGUCUGGAGUGAAAUGCCGCAGUUUAACUGCGGAACUGCUUUGGAAACUGGCGAACUAGAGUGCGGGAGGGGUAAGCGGAAUUCCUAGUGUAGCGGUGAAAUGCGUAGAUAUUAGGAGGAACACCGGUGGCGAGGGCGGCUUACUGGACCGUAACUGACGUUGAGGCUCGAAAGCGUGGGGAGCAAACAGGAUUAGAUACCCCGGUAGUC
rnacentral:rRNA from 1 species